rnacentral:rRNA from 1 species
CCGCGGUAAUUUGACCGUGCGAAGGUAGCAUAGUCAGUAGUCUUUUAAUUGAAGGCUUGAAUGAAAGGUUGGACGAGGGAUGAGCUGUCUCCUUUACGUAAUUUGAAUUUAACUUUUGAGUGAAAAGGCUCAAAUUAUUUAGUGGGACGAUAAGACCCUAUAAAACUUUAUAUAAGUUUAAUUUGGCUUACAAUUUGAGUGAAAAGUAGCUUUAUUAGGCUUAUAUUUCGUUGGGGAGAUGUAGAUAUAAUGUGUAACUGUCUGUUUAAUUUAAUAAUUAUAAUUAGUGUGUGAUCCUUCUUUGUGGAUUAAAAGUAUAAGUUACUUUAGGGAUAACAGCGUGAUUUUCUUUGAGAGUUCUUAUCGACAAGAGUAGUUGCGACCUCGAUGUUGAAUUAAAAUUUCAGUUAGGUGUAGCCGUCUAGCUUGUAGGUCUGUUCGA